rnacentral:rRNA from 1 species
GUGGGGAAUAUUGGGCAAUGGGGGAAACCCUGACCCAGCAACGCCGCGUGAGGGAAGAAGGUUUUCGGAUUGUAAACCUCUGUCCUUGGUGACGAAGGAAGUGACGGUAACCAAGGAGGAAGCCCCGGCUAACUACGUGCCAGCAGCCGCGGUAAUACGUAGGGGGCAAGCGUUGUCCGGAAUGAUUGGGCGUAAAGGGCGCGUAGGCGGCCUGGUAAGUCUGGAGUGAAAGUCCUGCUUUUAAGGUGGGAAUUGCUUUGGAUACUGUCGGGCUUGAGUGCAGGAGAGGUAAGUGGAAUUCCCGGUGUAGCGGUGAAAUGCGUAGAGAUCGGGAGGAACACCAGUGGCGAAGGCGGCUUACUGGACUGUAACUGACGCUGAGGCGCGAAAGUGUGGGGAGCAAACAGGAUUAGAUACCCUAGUAGCC